UACGAAGGGGACUAGCGUUGUUCGGAAUUACUGGGCGUAAAGCGCACGUAGGCGGCUUUGUAAGUUAGAGGUGAAAGCCCGGGGCUCAACUCCGGAACUGCCUUUAAGACUGCAUCGCUAGAAUUGUGGAGAGGUAAGUGGAAUUCCGAGUGUAGAGGUGAAAUUCGUAGAUAUUCGGAAGAACACCCGUGGCGAAGGCGGCUCUCUGGGACGGUACUGACGCUGAGACGCGAAAGCGUGGGGAGCGAACGAGG
rnacentral:rRNA from 1 species